GACGAACGCUGGCGGCGUGCUUAACACAUGCAAGUCGAACGGUGACGGAGAGCUUGCUCUCCUGAUCAGUGGCGAACGGGUGAGUAACACGUGGGCAACCUGCCCCAGACUUCGGGAUAACGCUUCGAAAGAGGUGCUAAUACCGGAUACGAACUCCUUGGGCAUCCUUGGAGUUGGAAAGUUUUUCGGUCUGGGAUGGGCCCGCGGCCUAUCAGCUUGUUGGUGAGGUAACGGCUCACCAAGGCGACGACGGGUAGCCGGCCUGAGAGGGCGACCGGCCACACUGGGACUGAGACACGGCCCAGACUCCUACGGGAGGCAGCAAUGGGGAAUAUUGCGCAAUGGGCGAAAGCCUGACGCAGCAACGCCGCGUGAGGGAUGACGGCCUCGGUUGUAACCUCUUUCUAGCAGGGAAGAAGCGAAGUGACGGUACCUGCAGAAGAAGCACCGGCUAACUACGUGCCAGCAGCCGCGGUAAU
rnacentral:rRNA from 1 species